rnacentral:tRNA from 1 species
CGGGGCGUAGCGCAGCUUGGCUAGCGCGCCUGCUUUGGGAGCAGGAGGUCGAGAGUUCGAAUCUCUCCGCCCCGA